rnacentral:rRNA from 1 species
AGUGAACGCUGGCGGUAGGCCUAACACAUGCAAGUCGAACGGCAGCACAGUAAGAGCUUGCUCUUACGGGUGGCGAGUGGCGGACGGGUGAGGAAUACAUCGGAAUCUACUUUUUCGUGGGGGAUAACGUAGGGAAACUUACGCUAAUACCGCAUACGACCUACGGGUGAAAGCAGGGGAUCUUCGGACCUUGCGCGAUUGAAUGAGCCGAUGUCGGAUUAGCUAGUUGGCGGGGUAAAGGCCCACCAAGGCGACGAUCCGUAGCUGGUCUGAGAGGAUGAUCAGCCACACUGGAACUGAGACACGGUCCAGACUCCGACGGGAGGCAGCAGUGGGGAAUAUUGGACAAUGGGCCCAAGCCUGAUCCAGCCAUACCGCGUGGGUGAAGAAGGCCUUCGGGUUGUAAAGCCCUUUUGUUGGGAAAGAAAAGCAGCAGGUUAAUACCCCGCUGUUCUGACGGUACCCAAAGAAUAAGCACCGGCUAACUUCGUG